rnacentral:rRNA from 1 species
GAUGAACGCUGGCGGCGUGCCUAAUCCAUGCAAGUCGAGCGAACAGACGAGGAGCUUGCUCCUCUGACGUUAGCGGCGGACGGGUGAGUAACACGUGGAUAACCUACCUAUAAGACUGGGAUAACUUCGGGAAACCGGAGCUCAUACCGGAUAAUAUAUUGAACCGCAUGGUUCAAUAGUGAAAGACGGUUUUGCUGUCACUUAUAGAUGGAUCCGCGCCGCAUUAGCUAGUUGGUAAGGUAACGGCUUACCAAGGCAACGAUGCGUAGCCGACCUGAGAGGGUGAUCGGCCACACUGGAACUGAGACACGGUCCAGACUCCUACGGGAGGCAGCAGUAGGGAAUCUUCCGCAAUGGGCGAAAGCCUGACGGAGCAACGCCGCGUGAGUGAUGAAGGUCUUCGGAUCGUAAAACUCUGUUAUUAGGGAAGAACAAAUGUGUAAGUAACUAUGCACGUCUUGACGGUACCUAAUCAGAAAGCCACGGCUAACUACGUG